rnacentral:piRNA from 1 species
GCUCCGACACGUGGUUGAGCGGUGAGG